CUGGUGGCCGGGCAUCCUUCCUCACUGUUGGCCGUGUGCAGCUCCUUCCCUGCCUGCUCGAGCUCGCCCUCAGCUCUCGGCUAUGGAGUUCGCCCCUGCUCCUCUGCACGCCUCGUCCACGCAUGCCUCCUGGCCGCGAUCGGCUCUGGCCCAGGCCGCCGUCGCGCCCGGAGUUUUGGCACGUCUUCCUGCUCAGACCAAUUUCGCACCUCACCAUCCAUGGAGCUGCUCGCCGACCACCGCCCACAGUCGUGCCUAGGUCCGCCCGUUCUUGCCAAAUUCUCCCUCAGUCAUGCUGUUGGUCGCCUUCCUGCUCCCCACGCCAACGUCCUGUGCAUCGCCGCCGGAGUUCGACUUGCUGCUUGUGCGAGCUGUAUCGAGCUCGUCCGACCAUGGCGCUCACUCCCCAGCCGUUCUCUUGCUCCUCGCACCGUGAUUGCCAUGUUCACUAGCAACCGCAGUUUCGUCGUGUCGCAAACCGUGAGCUGGGACUCCACCGUCUUCGGCCGUCGACUAGCUCGCCAAGGCGUUUUUCACAUUGAAGCAUAGUUGUCGUGCCCUGCGUCCUCGCCGUGUCCGUAAAGCCGUUGUGGAGUUGUUGUCGUUCGCCUCCACGCCAUGUGAGGCAGCGUCGUUGAUCUCUUCAUGGUGCUCGUCGUCGUCUCCUCAUCGCCAUGCCGAACGUCUCAGACCCCGCCAACCUGUCGCCGGAGAAGCACAGUGCAGUACGAUGCCCCAUUAGGUGUUCGGUGUUAUGUGUGAACCAGAAGUUAUUGCCAAUAUCGCGGUGUUCAAGUUGAGUUUAUUUU
rnacentral:misc_RNA from 1 species